UACGGGGGGAGCAAGCGUUGCUCGGAAUUACUGGGCGUAAAGGGCGCGUAGGCGGACAUUUAAGUCAGAGGUGAAAGCCCAGGGCUCAACCUUGGAAUUGCCUUUGAUACUGGAUGUCUUGAGUUCGGGAGAGGUGAGUGGAAUGCCGAGUGUAGAGGUGAAAUUCGUAGAUAUUCGGCGGAACACCAGUGGCGAAGGCGACUCACUGGCCCGAUACUGACGCUGAGGCGCGAAAGCGUGGGGAGCAAACAGG
rnacentral:rRNA from 1 species